GCAUGCCUACAACAUAGAAUUAAUGAAUUGGAUCCCAUUAGACCUCCACAGUUAAGCAUGCUCAGGCUAGAGUAGCAUUGGGAUGGGUGAUCACCUGGGAAGUCCUACUAUUUUACAUGCC
rnacentral:rRNA from 1 species